rnacentral:lncRNA from 1 species
CUUUCAUGUUAGUCAGUUUUAAUUAGCUCCAAUUAAGUUUCUAUUAUGCAAACAGCUUCAAUACAUUUAUUCAAGGAUCCCAUGUUUAAAAUACUGAUAAACAGAGCCCAACAAAUAUCAGAUUAAGAAAAAUACAGUUCCAGAUUCAGUCUAGCUUGAAAUUGCUGUAAACUAUAUGAGAGCAAACUGUGAAUUUAGGUGAUGUGUCAUGAACACAAAGAGGUUCUGUCCUACAGAGGACUUGUUGUCUACAGGACUACUGAAAGAACCUGUACUAGUAUUAAUCUGAGUUGAUUCAGUAUAGGUGGCUAUUAAAGGCAAUGUGAACCCCCAAACCAGCUGCUACAAAUUGUUGCAUGAUGGUCAUCCUCAGCUGUUGUUCUCUCUCCCUCGAGCCAUGCCCCAAGUUGUAUUGGAGCUGGAGUGGCCAUGUGCUGAGAUGCUGGGAGGAGAGACCCUGCAGCACAGGGAGAAGUGCUCCAGCAUGCAGGUAACCUCUCACUGAGCAGCACCUGAGGCAACACUGGAACAAUUCUGUCAACCACCGAUGAAUUUUAGAAAGUUACAUGAUCAUACCUGCACUGUUUAAAGUUCUCCUGCGUGAUCUGGAACAAGAAAACAUCACAAAUAUCAGCACAGUAUAAUAAAUACCAAAAUAAAUGUGAAUACUAAAAGUCA